ACCCACGGGUUUGGAAUAGUUUUCAGUUUAAUGGAUCCUUCGGGUUACUCAAAUUCAUUUAGGGUUUGUAGGGGAUCCUGAUUUUGUUCAAAUUGUAAUGAUAAACCUUAAAUGGGAGUAUUCUUUCUUAGGGUUCCGUUCAGAUUGAAGAUCCGAACACGAAUUUCUGAAGAUUUGUCACCAUUGGUUUACAGGGUUUCGUUACCACGCUUAUCUUGACUUGAAUUCUUCGGACGGAGGAACGCUUCAUGUCAAACUUUCGGAAGGACUCAGCUGAGGAUUGCAGCUUAGAUUUACAACCUGUACAGACAAAAUGGUAUUGACUGUUCGAAUCUGGGUCGAACACCCCCAAGCUGGUUGGAACAUUUCUUCUCCUGAUGUUGAAGAUAACACAUGUAAGUUCGCAAAGAACUGGUUGACUCCAUCUCAGAUUGAUGUCAUUCGAAGGGAUUCACAUGGUUUAAGAGUUUUGCAUAUUCUUAAGGCUCAUGGUACGGCCAUCACUAUUGUUUUUUGGUUUAUUGGACCUAGAGAUUUGUUUCUUUAUCUUCUUACACUUCAUGAAUUUGACUUCGAUUUCCACAUUCAAUAUAGCUUCUCUGUAUUUAUAUUGAAUUCUUGUUUGUUUCAACUAUAGGCUGAAGAAGGUAAUAUGUUAUCAGUGUUUUGCUGGGUAUGAGAUUUCUGUAUCCAUAUUUAUUCUAAUUGUACUCCCAAUUAAUUUAAUGCACCAAAUUUAGUUGUGUUUUGCUGUGUUAUGACAUCUGGAUUUUUUAUCUCCCUAUUUCGAGGUUUGAUAAGUGAUAAGAAGAUCAAGAUUACUGUCAAUGAAUCCUGAUAAACGUUCUGUUGAGUAGUAUUGAUUUCAAUAUGUGAAUUUGUAAAGGUUUAAACGCCUUGAAGGUUGAACUCUUUGAUUGUGUUGCUCCUUUAAAUGAAGAGUGAUUGUGCAGUUUUUUUUAUUUUUUUUUAAUUAAAUCUGGCAACUAAAUGUUAAAGCAAUUUCGACGGAUCUCGUAUCUUCUUUUUUUUGUGUGCUUUAGUUGCAGAAUGCCGAUCUUCUGGACAGUGAAAUCAUAUAUGACAGAGAUUUUGACUAUGAUUAUUUUGGUUUCAAAACCCUUGAAAGAUCCUACCUGUUGAAGGUGCAAGGCAAGGUUGUAGAAGACCACAACAUAUGUUGAUGAGAGUUGCUGUUGGAAUCCGCAAAGACAAUAUUGAUUCUGUUCUCAAAACAUAUCAUCUAUGCCACAACGUUGGUUUACCCAUGCUUCUCCUACUCUUUUCAAUCUAGGGACACUCAGGCCUCAAUUGAGUAGCUGCUUCCUUGUGUGCAUGAAAGAGCACAGUAUUGAAGGAAUAUAUGGAACUUCGAAGGAGUAUGCUGUUAUUAGUAAAUCUGCUGAAGGAAUUGGAGUUUCUGUGCACAACAUCUGUACCACUGGUAGUUAUAUCUUUGGUACUAAUGGAACAUCUAUUGGAAUUGUUCCAAUGCUAUGAGUAUUCAAUGACACUGCCCGUUGUGUUGAUCAAGGAUGACAAGAGGAAAGGUUGAGACUCUGUUAAAAGCUAUUAUCAAUCGUUCAUUCAGGUGAUAUUGCUGUCUACCUAGAGCCAUGGCAUGCCGCUAUUUUCGAGUUCCUAGACCUAAGGAAGAAUCAUGGAAACAUAUUGUUGGAUGAUUUACUGAUUUCACCUGCCGUCAGAAUUUGUUCAAUAAGUGAUGUAAGUGGCAGUAACAUAGAAUAGGAAUUCCUAUAACGUCUUUAUAAUUGAACGUCUGGAUUCUGCCUUGCAGGAUACUGUAUUUUGGUUGUCUCUGAAUAUUUCGUAUAAACCUUCGAAAUACACACAAGAGCAAGCUGCAGUUAGAGCAUCCUCAGGAGAUUUCAGCCUGCGCAUUCUGUCAAUAGCGGGUGCCUCGCUGCCGGGUCUUCUGAAAUAUAGCUGACAGUGAUUCUUAAUGAGCAGGUCUGCACAAAGAUACAGCCUAAUUCUGAUCGAUAGAGUUCAUUUGAUUGAGAAAGACAAGCUUGUUGGGUUUGUUCUAGAUUGUCAGUUUGUGAGCAUGAUCAGAGUUGUGUUCAAAAAUAUGUUGGAUAAAGAGAAUUGAGAUGGGCCAGAUGAUGCUGUUGAUGUUUUCCUUACAUAUUUUGGUGUUGUUCUGGCACGGCUGCGCUUCAAAAAAAAAAAAAGACUCAGCCUAACAAGCAAACCCUGUAUUAACAACUUCCAAUCCAAUGUGCUUUCUUUUUUAAAGAGCGAAAUUUUUUUAGUUUGACAACUCAUGUAGAUGCUUGUACUACCACAACACUGUUAAUUUUUAAGUUCUUGGAAGUCCAAUAGUGUUUUUGAUAUGUGCACAAGCUUUGUUCGCAUGGUGAUUUUAAACCCGCAUAAUCAUAUGCACUCACCUGGGCACAUGUGCACCAUUAAGCAUUAGAAAAUCAUCAUCCAACUUCAAGUAUAUUGUGUGACAUCAGUUUAUUCAUACUGAUACUAAAUUCCUUGCUGAUGCUAAAAUAAGCUUGUUCACUAUGUAUAUUUGCAGUAUUAGAGCCACGUGUGGGUUGGAUUUAGAGAGGAUUCGCUUUCAUGGUUCAGAUUCUCCUCAAUCUGCUGCCAGGGAGAUCCUUCUUCUUUCUUUGGGGAGGUGUCGUUACAGGGUGACGGUUGCUUUUCAGUAAAGCGACAACUUGUAACAUAGAGAAGCAGCUGUAAACUGGAGAGUGUGGACCAAGUUGAAGAAAAUCUUUUGCCAUGAGUCUCGAGUCCAACCAACCAUCUUCAGCAUCAGUUUUCAGUAGCUGGUUGUAUAUGAAUGAAUAAUUACUCUUUUGUACUUUAAUCAACACUAAUUGUUCCAUCUACGGGCUGUAUAAGUCCCGACAUCCAUCAUUUGAAUAUCCAUAAGGUGGAGCACCUUUUUUCGUA